UACGAAGGGGGGCAAGCGUUGUUCGGAAUCAUUGGGCGUAAAGCGCGUGUAGGCUGUCUAUUAAGUCGGGUGUGAAAAUCCCCUGGGCUCAACCGAGGAAGUGCAUUCGAAAACUGGUAGACUAGAAGAUGGUAGAGGAUGGUGGAAUUCCAGGUGUAGAGGUGAAAAUUCGUAGAUAUCUGGAGGAAUACCGGUGGCGAAGGCGGCCAUCUGGGCCAUUCUUGACGCUGAGGAGCGAAAGCGUGGGGAGCAAACAGGG
rnacentral:rRNA from 1 species